rnacentral:lncRNA from 1 species
CAGAGCAAAAACUUCAUCUCAAAAAAAAAAAAAAAAAAAAGAUGUAGGAAGCAAGUGAGGUAUGGCUUUGCAGAAUAAGGAUUUUAAAUGGAUUGGUGGUAUAAGCGGGCAAAAAAUAUUCCUGUGAUGGUUAAUUUUAUUUUUCAACUUGACUAAACCACAGGUACCCAUACAUUUGGUCAAACAUUAUUCUAGGUGUGUCUGUGAGGGUGUUUCUGGAUGAGAUUAACAUUUGAAUCUGAAGAAUAAAACAGGUUCCUCCUUAAUGCGAGUGAGUUUCAUCUAAUCUAUUGAUAACCUGUAUAGAACAAAAAACUGAGCAAGAGAUAACGUUGCCUGCCUGCCUGCCUACUUGAGACAUUAGUCUUCUGCCUUCAGAUUGGAAUUUAUAUUAAUACCAUCUACUCCUUGGUUCUCAGUCCUUCUGACAUGAACUGGAACAACACCAUCAGCUCUCCCGGAUCUCCAGCUUGCAGACAGCAGAUCAUGGGACUUUUCAGCUUCUGUAAUUGUGAGGUGGUUGAGAACCAUUGACGUAGACUGACUUAGCAGAUCUUCAAAUGUGAAUAGGGAAUCCUGCCAUUCCACUGAUGAGAACAGCAUGCUUAGGAUAUUGCUUCUGAGAAGAGAGGCAUCCUGUUGUAUGUAGUGGCCACAUAACAGACUGCAAAGAACUGGAACGCAGAGUAAUUUUAAUCCAAAAUGUUCAAAGGUAAGUGGCUAAAAAUAGUCCAUUCUUCUUCCAUGCUAAAACUUUAACAACUAUGAGAGAGGAAAAGCUUGACAGAUUCUCUGUAGAAUUUGUCAACUACUUUUGCCAGAGGUCAAAACUGAUCAUAAAUACUGUGCCUUAGUAGCCUAACAUGGCUUCUGAACUGUGAAUAGAAGCUGGGAUUUUGUAGCAAAUGGUGUUCCUCAGAACUCGAGGUUUCCAAGGUGACUGCAUAUGAAACUACAAACAUCACAAUAGCAGUUUCCAGAGGGACUCUCUUUAUGGUCCUCCCCAUACCCUCCAUCCCCAAACUAUUACAUUCUUUACACUGUGAUUCUUUCUAAAGUGAGAUAGAAACUAAAUAAUUGAUUUGAAUAUCAAAGAAAAGAUGUACAUUUCCAUCUUCUCAAUUUUCAUUAGAGUACUGAUUUUUCAAGUCUUCCCAAUAAGACCUAAUGCUCUCAGAACAUCUAAUGACCCAUGCAACUAACUUGACUCCAUGUGUAACAGACAGCUAGGCUGUUGAUUAUUUUAAUUAGCAAUUAAAAGUAAUACAUUCACAAAUGUUAUUUGGAUUUUUCAUUUAAAUGAAAUCUCUAGCUUUGAUCAGGAUUGAAAAUCGGUUCAGCCUAUGGGGCAGUGCAUCAUAGAAGGAGCUCUGGAUUAGGAGGAGAUGCCUGUCAUUGAGUUAGCCACUAACUCGCGAUGGGGACCCAUUCUCCUGUAUACAAUGAGAGGGUUGGACUAGCAAUUGAAAGGGUCCAUCUCUCAGCCCUGAAACACACUUCAUGUUUCUUAGCAGCAAAUAGAUUCUGGAAGAUUAAUAGUCAAUGUAAGUAUACUGCCUGCCAUAUGAUUAUAAUGUAAGAGAUCUCCUGCACUGAGUCAAGUGGUCACCCUGUGCUCUCUUCAUCCCCCAUGCUAGCCUUCAGUAGACAUCCUCAAGAGUAUUCUGUGUCCACUUACUGAUAUAUUGUACAGGAAUCCCUCUCUGUGGGGAGCAAAGUAGGUGAUCCACAUAGCUCUAGGAAGGCUGAAAACAAUAUUAGUGUCUUAUAUGUAAAUAACUAUACCUCACUCAAGCUUAAUUUUUUAAAAGCCACUUACUAAAAUUUAUACCUAAAAAUUAUUGCAUACUUACUAUACAGUAGGCAAUGUGCUAAAUAAAACAUUGUAGGAAGAAGUCACAUUAAUAUUAUUAUCCCCACCUUACAGUUAGUUGGGGGAAGUUAAGCCUAAGGUAACUCAGCUAGCAGCAGAGUAGAUGUUCCCACUGCAACUCUAUCACUAGAACCCAUGCUUUUAAAUGUUACCUGAAAACUGCCACUAUUUACUGGAAUGAACAAAUGCUACAGUAAUAGACUGAGUUUUAGGGCUCUGGGAAAAAGUACAUUGUAAUCAGCUAAAAUUGAGGAAGUACUUAAUUUGUGUCAAGAGACUCUGGGUGAUGUGAAUGUAUACAUUUAAAAUAAUAUAUAUCAUUUUAAAUGGUUAUCUAUUGGAUACAAAUUGAAAAACUUCUAUCUUUGGUCCAGCCAUUAAAUAAAUAUUUUGGUUAGUAACUAGCUUACCUACUUUGCAAUUUUAUAUUACCCAUUUCAGGAUCCUCUGUUAGUGAAAAUGGUAACAUGAGAAGCCUGAAAUGGUAUUUAAAAGCGAUAUGGAGGUCGUUCUGGUGUUGGUCUCAGUAGGGUUAGCUGGGGGAUUAUGUGAAAGCUGAGGGCUGAACAAGUCAGAAGGCAUAUUUGGAAAGUGAUUAAAGUGAUUACAUUCAAUAAUAAUAAUCACUAUGUAGUGAACACCAACGAUGCUUUCAGACUUUCAUAUGGUCCCGCGAGUUCUCAAUACAUCCUAUGCAGUAUGUGGUAGAAUCCCUAUUGAACAGAUGAGGCUCAGUAAGGUGGAAUGACUUGCCCAAGUCCACCCUGUCAUUCACUUGGAGAUGGGGCUCAGGUAACCAGGACUAUCUGGCUUCAAAGUAGCCUUCUUAAAACUUUCCAUUGAAUUGCCAGCUCUCAUAGAGGAUUAGUGCAUUCCUCUGGGGGUCUGGGACACAGACACACAGACUCACUAAAAGGUAAGUGUUUUUUAUGGAAAUCUCUUCUGUUCAGCUUCAAAAGUUAUACAAAUUUGGUGUUGUACCAUAUACAAUAUCCCUAUUUAAUGAAAAAUAAUAGUUUAUCAUUUGUGAGUUAUUUGAUUUGUAUCCAAAUCUUUGGGUAAAAUAUUCUCCAGGAAGAUGUGUCAAGUUUAUCCUAUGGCUUUCUGUGCUCUAAUUCAGGAUGAACAAAACUGCAAUAAAGCAGAGUAAGUAAACACAAAGAGUGGCCAAGAUGGCCAACUAAAAGCAGAUAGGAUGCGUGGCUCUCACAGAGAGGAAAGGAAGGAAGGGGCAAGUAAAUACAGCACUGCCAACUGACACAUCCAGACAGUCAACACUGGGACUAAUCAAGGAAACAACUCGACCCACAGAGAAUGGAGAAGAGCAAGGCAGGACGACGGCCCAUCUGGGAGCAGAAUGUGGAGCCAAGGGAACCUCCCUUGCCAAGGUAAGCAGCGAGUGAUUGUGUGAUCCCAGGAAAACUCUUCUCCCAUGGAUCUUUGCAACCCUCAGAUCAGUAGAUCCCUUCAUAAACCCACUCCACCAGGGCCUUCAGUCUGACACACAGAGCUACAUGGAGUCUUGGCACAGCAGCUUCUCAGGCACACAGGAGACCUGGGAACUUUAGAUACUCUGGUUUUCCAGGCUUCCCAGCACAAGUAGCUGCAACUCUGGCAAAGCAGGAGGUUAGACCACCAUAGAUACCCCUAGGAAAGUGGCUGAAUCCAGGGGGCAAAGCAGCGAUGGUCUGCGGGCCCUGCUUUUAUGGCACCUCACAGGAUAAGACCCACUGGGUUGGAAUUCCAGCCAGCCACCAGUAGCAGUGUUGCACCUACCCGGGACAGAGCUCCUGAGGGGAGGGGCAGGCUGUCAUCUUUACUGUUUGGAGAGUCCAAUCUGACUGGGGCAGAAGGGAUACCCCCUAGCACAACACAGCUGCUCUACAAAAACAUAGCAAGACUGUUUCUUUAAGCAGAUGCCUGAUCCUGUUCCUCUUCACAGGGAAGAACCUCACAACUGGGGCCUCCAGCCACCCCUGCCAGUGCUCUCCAGCUGACAGAGAUUUGAAAACUCCCUGGGACAGAGCUCCCAGAGGCAGUGGGGGGCAGGCUGCCAUCUGUGCUGUUUGGGUGGCUUAGUAGUUCCAGCCUUUGGGCUUUGGAGAGUCCAAGCUGACUGCGGGUGAAAGUAGUACCCCAGCACAGAAGGUCCCUGACCCCAUUCCUCAUCACUGGGUGGAGCCUCCCAACCAGGGUCUCUGGCUGACAGAGGUUUCAGGCCUCUCUGGGAUGGAGCUCCCAGAGAAAGAAGGAGGCUGCCAUCUUUGCUGUUCACAGCCUUCACUGGUGAUACCUCCAGGUACUGGAAAAUCUGAGGUGAUUAGGGACUGGAGUGGAUCCCCAGCAAACUGCAGCAGGCCUUAAGAAAAGUGGCCAGACUGUUUAAAACAAAACAAAAAAACCAUCCAGAGGUCA